CCGAAAUUGAGACAUUGUGCUUAAAUUUUACUUUGCGCCUAUAAUAUCUUUUUACCAAAGUGAUAUAUUAUGAUAGUCGUCAUUACACAACUUUUAUGAUUAAAUUCGAAUGAAUUCAGAAGAAUAUUGACUAAAAGCAAAGAUAAAGUGUGAAGAAGUAAGCAAAAAUCCAAGACAAAUGAGAUAUAAACACUUAGUGAAAU
rnacentral:lncRNA from 1 species